AGCUGACGCGCAACCAGUUAAAGAACAGUCAUCAUCUCCCUCAAGGAAAUCGAGACGUGUUUCUGAAGCCAGACGGAAGGAAAAGUGGUUUCCAUUUAUGUGGGGGGCAAAAUUUGCAAGAGGCAAACCUGAAAAUAAGACUGAUCAUCAAUGUGAUGGAUUUUCCAGGAGCAAUUUGGAGGAAUUAAAGCCAUCUAAAAACGGAAGACAAACAAUUCUCUGUAAGGAUUCAACAGGCUGUGUCGUCAACCAAAUCCACACCCCUGUGAUCUCUCAUAAGCAGGUUCUUUCGACAUGAUUUUCCUGAGGUUCUCGAAUUUUCACAUCUGCCAAGCCACACAAGAGAAAAUUUUAGGAUGAACUGAAAAUUGUAUCCUAAAAAUGUUCAGCCUUUUGAGAGAAGUAAUCAAAGAUGCAGAGAUUUUGUUGUUGACUCCAAAAUUACAACCCAACCUUCAUAGCGAGUAUAAGAGUUUUGUUGACUACUGGGAGAUUACACAUAGAUUUAGGAAUGCUUCAUCAUGAUGGGAUAACUCCAGUUUGCCCCUAUGCUUAAGUUUCCACAUUAUCAGUGGGAACCUGAACAUUUCUAUCAAACUAACCACCUUUUUUUUUUUUUUUUUCAUUUUUAGCCUCACAGUGGCCAAUGACUACUUUGGAUUUGUUCUUACUCUUCUCUCAUUUGGCUGAAAUAGCCAAAUGUAACAAUAGCUUGCCUCAGUGUAAGCCUAUUUAGUGUCCCGUACAGCCUCAGCUUUUAGGCUUCACUAGUCUCUAGGGGAUACCAACUUUUAUCCCCUUGGGGGUAGGGGCAAAGGAAACAACCUGAGGCAGGUCUUCCAUGCCCCUGACAAACUUACACACAGCUUUCCCUCUAUAUGGAGAGAAGAUGACACCAUUAAGAGGAGUAAUUAUUUGUAAUUAUUUGUUCAGAGUCAUUCUACAUCAGUAGAAGAGCUGGUAUUGAAAUAAAUGAAAUAAAACUAAC